UACGUAGGGUGCGAGCGUUAAUCGGAAUUACUGGGCGUAAAGCGUGCGCAGGCGGUUCGUUAAGUUCGAUGUGAAAGCCCCGGGCUCAACCUGGGAAUUGCAUUGGAAACUGGCGGGCUUGAGUGUGGCAGAGGGGGGUGGAAUUCCACGUGUAGCAGUGAAAUGCGUAGAUAUCGGGAGGAACACCAGUGGCGAAGGCGGUUGCCUGGAGCUUUGCUGACGCUGAGGCGCGAAAGCGUGGGGAGCGAUCUGG
rnacentral:rRNA from 1 species